GCGUCGGUAACUCAGUGGUAGAGUAUCGCCCUUUUAAGGCGAGAGUCGUGGGUUCGAGCCCCACCCGACGUA
rnacentral:tRNA from 1 species